UACAGAGGAUGCAAGCGUUAUCCGGAAUGAUUGGGCGUAAAGCGUCUGUAGGUGGCUUUUUAAGUCCGCCGUCAAAUCCCAGGGCUCAACUCUGGACAGGCGGUGGAAACUACCAAGCUGGAGUACGGUAGGGGCAGAGGGAAUUUCCGGUGGAGCGGUGAAAUGCGUUGAUAUCGGAAGGAACGCCGGUGGCGAAAGCGACGUGCUGGACCUCUUCUGACGCUGAGGCGCGAAAGCUAGGGUAGCGAACGGG
rnacentral:rRNA from 1 species